rnacentral:rRNA from 1 species
UGAGGAAUAUUGGGCAAUGCCCGCAAGGGUGACCCAGCAACGCCGCGUGGAGGAUGAAUGUCGUAAGAUUGUAAACUCCUGUUAGAGGGGAAGAAUAGUACCGGUUGGACCGGUAUAUGACUGUACCCUCAGAGAAAGCCCCGGCUAACUACGUGCCAGCAGCCGCGGUAAUACGUAGGGGGCAAGCGUUGUCCGGCUUUACUGGGCGUAAAGGGCGCGCAGGCGGGAUAAAAAGUCAGUGGUGAAAUCCUACAGCUUAACUGUAGAACUGCCUUUGAUACUUUUAUUCUUGAGUUCGGGAGAGAGAGACGGAAUUCCAGGUGUAGUGGUGAAAUACGUAGAUAUCUGGAAGAACACCAGUUGCGAAGGCGGUCUCUUGGUCCGACACUGACGCUGAGGCGCGAAAGCGUGGGGAGCAAACA